rnacentral:lncRNA from 1 species
CAAAUGUGCUGGUCUCUGUUAACUCAGGGUUUUGGAUUAAUGGGUGGAGCUGCUCAUUUUCACAAACACCCAGGAUGCAGUCUGCACCCUCUAUUUAAAGUGAGGUCCCUGGACGAGCAACACGGCAGCACCUGGCUGCUUGUCAGCAAUGCAGAACAUCAGGCACUCCCUGGAGCUACAGCACAAGAUCCCCAGGCAGGCGCAUGUGCAUCCAAGUUUGAGCCACACUGCUUUCUGCCACUACGGAGGAAUCUGACAGAAGAGAGCUGCUACCUCACUUCAGCAAUGGAAAAUGUUGCUGUAAAUCCCAUCGGACCAGCCAGUUUCUCACGACCCUUUAAAACUGAAAACGGGUCAGUAUAGUUUUACAUUCUUUUUCUUUUCCUUAAAACUGUGCCCUUUCAGAAGGCAACUUUCAAAACAUACGACGGUGCCUCUGCUGUGUGUUCAUACUGUAACACGUCGUCUAAGGCAGAGCUCCUGAAGCACCUUCUCUGGUCAGCCAUGGCAGGUGAGCAGAUGCCUGGGCUCGGCCUCGCAAAGCACAAAGGUGGACCCAGAACCCACUGUCCUUGGCGCAGGAGUUAAAAAAGUAACAGCAAAUCAUGAGGUGACAUCAGGCACACUGAAGAGAUGGAGGAUUUGGUGUCUUACCUUUCCUGGUCCCUCCAAAAUGUCUAAUAUAGACAGUUUUGUGACAAAGUCUUUGAAAAAAAUUAUAAUUGGCCACACAGCAUGACUUCUUUUUUUUCUUUUUAUACAUGAUCUCGAAAAUAGUGUGAUUUAGAUUCUGCCUUGGGCUGAGCUCUGAGGGCUACAUUUACCUGUCAGUUUGGGGAUUUUAGUGCAGAUUUUUUUUAAAAAAAUUUAACUCUGGUAAGUACUCAGGAGGCUGAGAACACAGGCCCCUUCUCUCCCCGAUCCUCUGUAUGCAGGCUGACUUAAGCCCCUUUAUGUUUGGCUAGUGCCACAACAAAACAGCCCCAAACAGAUUGCCAUGAGCAUGCUGGCCUGGCUUGGUGUUUGACGAUAAAAUCAGACUGGUAAGUGCAGUCAGUGUUCAGGAAAGAAUCUCCAGGCUCUUCUCCCAUGACCUGGUUUUAAAAUCAGCAUUCAUACAGCUGCUUACCAUCUCUCUGUCCUCUGCAGAUGACCCGGUCCUAGGCAGGGACCAAAAUUCCUUGUCAGCUGAGGAAGUCCCGAAGAAACAUCCUGAAGAUGAUGACUGCACUGCCAUCGUGGGCAGAUGCAGCUUCCAUCUACCUGAGGGCUGAAGGGGAAAACCUUUCACACACGUGAGGAAGGCGCAGCUCUGUGGAAAGGUCACUAGAAUGGCAGCGGCAGCAAAUAGGGCUCCAAUGCACGUUUGCAGUUAACUGGGUCCAAGGAGAGCAUGGCCCUCCACAGCAAGUUUGCUCUAUAGAAUAAAGUCCUGAGCUUGUUUUUAUCACAGUUAGACAGAGAAUGGUCUCCUGUUUCUCAGUUAUCCAGGGAAGAACAGUGUAUAUUCUCUGUAGAUGAGUGUUGUCUAAUGUAGUGAUUAAUCUCUGCUAGUGUUAGGAAAGCUCCACUACUGUGUGUGUGUGUGUGCGUGCACGCGCGUGCGCAUGUGCACAUACUGCAAUCUUGACUUUCCAAUUACAGAAUGCCUAAGUCAGGUCACAUUGUCUUCUUCCAGCCAGUUUCUAAGGCAGGCAAUGGAAACAGGAGCCGAUGCCAAAUGGUCUAGAGGCAGAAGGGCUGCAUGCUUUGCAGGGCCAGCCCCAAGGCUGCCUUCCAGAGCUGCACUUUCUCUGGGGACAGUAAACUCUCACCGCAGCUGCCAGCCCCCUGUGCUUGGCCAUGCCCCUCACAUGGACUUGGAAUCAGUGUCUCUCUUGCUGAUGAGCACCUCCAGGAGCCUCAGUUUCGCCUUUAUGUGCUUAUAUUCACUGUAUUCUUCAGCCAUAGGAGUGCGGUCUUCCUUCUGGACAUUUCUAAUGCAAAUAAAGGAAAAAGGGGUCUAAGGAUCAUUUUCUGUCUUUGCUAGAUACUAUUCAUCGGGCAAAUUAUCAUUGUUUAGAAACUUUGCAGUUUAUCAACUUGUAGAAUCAGUGUUGCCGAGUGGCCCUUGGUCUCAAGACUGGGGCUGGAUUUAGACAAGUGAUGAAAAUGUUUCACCCAGAAGGCAACAUGCAACUGAGUUUUUAUAUAGUUAAUCUGGCAUCUUGUAUGGUAAGAAGGCUAAGAAAUGCAGAAAUUCUCUCUGCUAAGUAUGAAUUCACAUUGAGCUCUCAUACACCAAAAUCUUUUAUUCAUACUUAAUGUUUUC